GCCGAGGUGGCGAAACUGGCAGACGCACUAGAUUCAGGGUCUAGCGGGGGCAACCUCGUAGGGGUUCAAAUCCCCUCCUCGGCACCA
rnacentral:tRNA from 1 species